rnacentral:snRNA from 1 species
GGAUAUGUGGACAAUCUGACUGUGAUAUCCUGAUUCAGCUGAUCGGGCUGGUGAGAAAAGUAUUCCCAUCCUCAUCACUCCAUGUGUAUCCCUACCCAAGAUGAGUGCUCCUUGGUCAAAGAGGAUGAACUUCCCCAACAGAGGAGGAUCAUUCUUCAGUCAAGGGUUUUAUGAAUAGCUGUUGUCUUUUGUUAGAACUUCCAAAUAAGCUUUCAAGAGAUUCUGGGCAGCCCAAGACAUGACAAACACCUACUGAAGGAUUUGGCUCUGA